UACGUAGGGGGCGAGCGUUGUCCGGAAUCAUUGGGCGUAAAGAGCGUGUAGGCGGCUUGGCAAGUCUGACGUGAAAGCCCGCGGCUCAACCGCGGAUUGUCGUUGGAAACUGCCUCGCUAGAGUCCGGAAGAGGAGAGCGGAAUUCCUGGUGUAGCGGUGGAAUGCGCAGAUAUCAGGAGGAACACCGAUAGCGAAGGCAGCUCGCUGGGACGGUACUGACGCUAAGGCGCGAAAGCGUGGGGAGCGAACAGG
rnacentral:rRNA from 1 species